CUGGGGAGACUGUAGCAAGUAGAAGGUAAGUCUCACCUGUUUGAGUUUGAACAGGUGAGAGCUUUACCCGUUUUCAAUUAUUUACAAGCAUCUAUCGAUUAGCAAUUGUUUGACUUGAAUCGACACCAGCUUACCGCUCCCCUACGACAAUGGCACUUGUGCGCUGCUUAUGUUACCUUUUAUUUCGGUGACUACUUGCUACCUUUACCUGAAAAUGAAAGUGUUACCACGCUCAGGUGUACGACGGUAGUAAAGGGAAUUUUGGGUAGCUCAGCCUUGGAUCUCGUGGGUCUGUAUACCUCGGGGAGCUUACUCUAAACACGAACUUGGAAGCAACUUGAAAAGCUCAACCUGCUUUUCUGCUGCAUUUACUGUUACUAUUUAAGCGCACACUUCACUACAAGUUUGUUGACAAAUCGAUUAGAAAUGGUCCGACGCUGGCGUUCAGCUGAAUAAAUUGCACAUGUCACCUGCUUUUGGUGUUAUCGCCAUCCAGAAAUGAGGUGGGAGUGAACAGUUGGUAUGCUAUCAAUGAAAAUAAUCGUAUUUUGAUAUUCAACAAUGUUGCUUUUACUCAUAAAGUAACCGUAAGGUAAAUAUGGAACUUGCUGAUAAUAAAUUUGGAAAUAAACGAAA